GUCGGACUCGGUGAUGGAUCCCACCGGGGCGUGAGGCUCACGCCCGAACCGCCUCCCGGAUGAUGGUUCCUGACUCGUC
rnacentral:ncRNA from 2 species